UACGGAGGGGGCUAGCGUUGUUCGGAAUUACUGGGCGUAAAGCGCACGUAGGCGGCUUUGUAAGUUAGAGGUGAAAGCCCAGGGCUUAACCCUGGAAUUGCCUUUAAGACUGCAUCGCUAGAAUCGUGGAGAGGUGAGUGGAAUUCCGAGUGUAGAGGUGAAAUUCGUAGAUAUUCGGAAGAACACCAGUGGCGAAGGCGACUCACUGGACACGUAUUGACGCUGAGGUGCGAAAGCGUGGGGAGACAAACAGG
rnacentral:rRNA from 1 species